rnacentral:rRNA from 1 species
AGAGUUUGAUCCUGGCUCAGGAUGAACGCUAGCGGCAGGCUUAACACAUGCAAGUCGAGGGGCAGCAUAAUGGAUAGCAAUAUCUAUGGUGGCGACCGGCGCACGGGUGCGUAACGCGUAUGCAACCUACCUUUAACAGGGGGAUAACACUGAGAAAUUGGUACUAAUACCCCAUAAUAUCAUAGAAGGCAUCUUUUAUGGUUGAAAAUUCCGAUGGUUAGAGAUGGGCAUGCGUUGUAUUAGCUAGUUGGUGGGGUAACGGCUCACCAAGGCGACGAUACAUAGGGGGACUGAGAGGUUAACCCCCCANACUGGUACUGAGACACGGUCCAAACUCCUACGGAGGCA